UCCUUCCUCCGCCUGACUGACCGCAAGCAGAGCCAACAGCACGGCCGCCAGCAGCCUCAUCUGCGGAGAGGAACGCCGAGCGGACGACCCACGCACGCGACAAACGAGGUCCUGCAUCCGGGAAGUCGCCCAGCCCGGAGCUUCGAGGUGCCAGACCUGUAAUCCUUUCUUCGCCGGCAACUUCGACUGCGACCGCUUUGCCUCCUGCCCCUUGCUGUUCGCUGUGUCGCUGCAGUGGCCGCCCUGUCUCCGGUCCCCCCUGCACUUUUCCAUCAGCUGCCAGACAGACGCCCCCAAACAGGUUUCAGAAAAGGGUGCCUGUGGGGUUGUGCGGCCGUGAAUUCGGUGUCUGCCCCUCACAGGCUACGCGUAACCCGUCAUUUCUGUAAAGCCUUGGUUCUCAACUCUGUAAAAUGACUUGUCUGGUACAAGUAUGUGCUUAGUCCAUGGUAUCUGUCAAUAUCACUAUAAUUCUGUGUCUCCACGCAGCA